AUUGAACGCUGGCGGAAUGCUUUACACAUGCAAGUCGAACGGCAGCACGGACUUCGGUCUGGUGGCGAGUGGCGAACGGGUGAGUAAUGUAUCGGAACGUGCCCAGUCGUGGGGGAUAACGUAGUGAAAAUUACGCUAAUACCGCAUACGAUCUAUGACUGAAAGCGGGGGAUCGCAAGACCUCGCGCGAUUGGAGCGGCGGAUAUCAGAUUAGGUAGUUGGUGGGGUAAAGGCCCACCAAGCCAACGAUCUGUAGCUGGUCUGAGAGGACGACCAGCCACACUGGAACUGAGACACGGUCCAGACUCCUACGGGAGGCAGCAGUGGGGAAUUUUGGACAAUGGGCGAAAGCCUGAUCCAGCCAUUCCGCGUGCAGGAUGAAGGCCCUCGGGUUGUAGACUGCUUUUGUACAGAACGAAAAGGUUUCUACUAAUACUAGGAGCUCAUGACGGUACUGUAAGAAUAAGCACCGGCUAACUACGUGCCAGCAGCCGCCGUAA
rnacentral:rRNA from 1 species